rnacentral:rRNA from 1 species
AUUCCAGCUCCAAUAGCAUAUAUUAAAGUUGUUGCAGUUAAAAAGCUCGUAGUUGGAUUUCUGGCAUGAUGCGCCUUGCCCGCCUCGAUUACGAGUGUGUGUGCGAGCGGGCGUCUGCCAUCCAUUUACAGAAUGUGCCUACCUUUGAUUAGGCCGGGUACGUGAUGUAAAUCUUUUACUUUGAAAAAAUUAGAGUGUUUAAAGCAGGCAUUUGCUAUGAAUACAUUAGCAUGGAAUAAUAAUCUAGGACUUCGGUUCUAUUUUGUUGGUUUCUAGAUCUGGAGUAAUGAUUGAUAGGGAUAGUUGGGGGUGCUAGUAUUAAGGGGCCAGAGGUGAAAUUCUUGGAUUCUCUUAAGACUAACUUAUGCGAAAGCAUUCACCAAGGAUGUCUUCAUCG